UAUUAAAUGUUUCCUUGUUGCGAUAGUUUCACAUGUUAUUGUCUAAGUAAUCAUAAUAAAUAAUGCCUGAAUUCACCUUAAUCAGGCCCAAAAAGCCCUAAACUGUUGUUAUUUAACCUUUAGCAUGUGUCGGCUAGUGAUUCUGCCUUUGUGACCAGUGCAUAAAGUCCAUUGGUAAAUGAAUACUAAUCAGUUAACUUGAAGUCAAUGUUGACUGUAAGAUAUUUUGAAGACUUUGAGAAUUACCCUUUACCCUCCUAAAUUACUAAAAUGGACUGGUCUAUCAUUCAGUCUGGACAAUACAAUUUAUCAUUCAGGGGGGUGUUCUCUGAAAAUUUAUUGAUAGCAUAGUGAACAGUGCAGACCAAGAUCAGCCUGACCAUCCAUGAGUUAGGGCCACGUGUGAGGCACAUGCUGUUCUCCAUGACAUUAUUUGUACUCGACCUCUGUUUCAUAUGGGGAAUUGCCAAUUACAGAGAACAAGUUUGUACUGGUACAGAAUCCAGGAACACUGGUAAGGUUAAAUACCUGCCAGAAAACAACUGAAAUAUUGUUGAAAAAUAGCAUUGACCUCAAAAUAAAAAACAAACAAAUCUUUUGCAGUGCAUUGGGAAGUAACAGUAAAGCAGAAUACCUACAGUCCAUGAAGUUGAGAAAUGAAGAAAUGCAGCUCUGAAUUGUUUAAUACGGUGUGUGGGGAAAACAUUGUGGAUAUGAAGCAUAGAAAUCAUGUAUCAAUGUGAAGUAACAGUAACACAGAAUGGCUAGAGACCAUUAACUUGAGAACUGAAGAGAUGCAGGUCAUUGUUCUAUAUGGUGAUUGGUGGAACCAUGGUGCAGUUUUGAAUUUAUAAGACUCCUUUCCACAUACUACAAACCUUCGUGUUCACUGAUGCAUGAUAGCGAGUAAGAUAUGGAACGAAAAAUGGCAAAGAUGUUCCCGUUUGUGAAGAAAGCACCAAGUUUUGCAUGAAAUUACUUUAAGGUGUGAAGUUACAGAAAAGCAGAAUAGCUACAGACCAUGAAAUUUAGAAAAUGAAGAGAUGCAUGUCUCUGUUCAGCAUGGUGUAUAUGGGAAACAUUGUGGGUCACAGACCUCUGUUCAGCAUGGUGUAUAUGGGAAACAUUGUGGGUCACAGGCCUCUGUUCAGCGUGGUGUAUAUGGGAAACAUUGUGGGUCACAGACAUGAAAUGAUUUGUGUGAAGUAACAGUAAAGCAGAAUGGCUACAGACAAUUAGUUCAGAAUUGAAGAAGAGAUGCAGGUCUUUGUUCUAUAUGGUGUAUGAGGGAACCAUGGUGGAAAUUUGGAUUUCAUGGCAGUCAUAGAAAUAUCUAAUAAGUAACCAGGUCUGUUCUACAGUGAUGUGUGUACCAGUCUGUCGUACUUUUACCUGUCUGUCCAGUCGACAAAUUCGCAAUAGAUGCGUAGAUUCCCAAACAAUUUGGCAGAGUUUUCACAGUUACUACGACAGAUUGCAAAAAAUGUUUGUACCCAAAAACAUGAAAUGAGAGCGCUUGAACAGUGUAAAGUUUGUCGCAUAGAUGGGGAUUGACCGCCUUUAUGUAUAUAUAAGUCUACAACUUCUCAGAUUUGACUGAAGACAAUUGUUUGGUGUUGGGAAUAGAGAAAUAUAUUCAAGGUAGGGCAGUUUUCCAAAAACGCAACAAGAAGUUCAAAUUUGUUGCACAGAUUUGUGUCUCACAUGUAUGGAGUUGAAGGAAUAGUUAUAGAAAAAGGGUACAGAAUAUGUAAGGAUAUGAUAGCCAAACAUCUUCCCCAAGAUUCCAUGCAGCCACCUUCUGAUAGAAAGAUGUACCUGUCGUGCAAAGGUAUAAAGCUGGCUUGGUAACAGG